UACGGAGGGUGCGAGCGUUGUCCGGAAUCAUUGGGCGUAAAGGGCGCGUAGGUGGCCCGGUCAGCGUGCGGUGAAAGCUCGGGGCUCAACCCCGAGUCGGCCGUGCGAACUGCUGGGCUUGAGCAUUGUAGAGGCAGGCGGAAUUCCGGGUGUAGCGGUGGAAUGCGUAGAGAUCCGGAAGAACACCGGUGGCGAAGGCGGCCUGCUGGGCAGUGGCUGACACUGAGGCGCGACAGCGUGGGGAGCAAACAGG
rnacentral:rRNA from 1 species